rnacentral:rRNA from 1 species
GAUGAACGCUGGCGGCGUGCCUAAUACAUGCAAGUCGAGCGAACAGACGAGGAGCUUGUUCCUCUGACGUUAGCGGCGGACGGGUGAGUAACACGUGGAUAACCUACCUAUAUUACGGGGAGAACUUCGGGAAACCGGAUCUAAUACCGGAUAAUAUAUUGAACGGCAGGGUUCAGGAGAGAAUGACGGUUUUGGUGUCAGUUAGAGAUGGAUCCGCGUCGCAUUAGCGAGUUGGUAAGGUAACGGCUCACCAAGGCAACGAUGCGUAGCCGAGCUGAGAGGGUGAUCGGCCACACUGGAACUGAGACACGGUCCAGACUCCUACGGGAGGCAGCAGUCGGGAAUCUUCCACAAUGGGCGAAAGCUUGACGGAGCAACGCCGCGUGAGUGAUGAAGGUCUUCGGAUCGUAAAACUCUUUUAUUAGGGAAGAACAAAUGUGUAAGUAACUAUGCACGUCUUGACGGUACCUAAUGAAAAAGCACCGGCUAACUACGUG